rnacentral:tRNA from 1 species
GGGGCCGUAGCUCAGCUGGGAGAGCACCUGCUUUGCAAGCAGGGGGUCGUCGGUU